rnacentral:rRNA from 1 species
GGAAAAGAAACUAACAAGGAUUCCCCUAGUAACGGCGAGUGAAGCGGGAAGAGCUCAAAUUUGAAAUCUGGUAGCCUUCGGCUGCCCGAGUUGUAAUCUAGAGAAGUGUUUUCCGUGCCGGCCCAUGUACAAGUCCCUUGGAACAGGGCGUCAUAGAGGGUGAGAAUCCCGUCCUUGACAUGGACCCCCGGUGCUUUGUGAUACACUUUCAACGAGUCGAGUUGUUUGGGAAUGCAGCUCAAAAUGGGUGGUGAAUUCCAUCUAAAGCUAAAUAUUGGCGAGAGACCGAUAGCGAACAAGUACCGUGAGGGAAAGAUGAAAAGCACUUUGGAAAGAGAGUUAAACAGUACGUGAAAUUGUUGAAAGGGAAACGAUUGAAGUCAGUCAUGCUCUUUGGAUUCAGCCGUUCUGCGGUGUAUUUCCAUUGAGUGGGGUCAACAUCAGUUUUGAUCGCUGGAUAAAGGCACUAGGAAGGUAGCACUCUCGGGUGAACUUAUAGCCUAGCGUCAUAUACAGUGAUUGGGACUGAGGAACGCAGCAUGCCUUUAUGGCCGGGAUUCGUCCACGUACAUGCUUAGGAUGUUGACAUAAUGGCUUUAAACGACCCGUCUUGAAA